GUGGGGGUGUCAGAGCCCAGUGACUGUGUAAAAUUUAAACCCUUAUAGUCAGAGGUUCAAUUCCUCUUCCUAACA
rnacentral:tRNA from 1 species